UCCUUCUCUGCCAGCUUCAUUUGGGCAUCUUGGAGCUUCUUCUCCAGAAUUUCCGUCUCCAUCCUCAAGCUCUUGGUGGCACUGGAUAUUAAACCUGGGAUCUGGAUUUCUCCCAUUUUCUCAGGAAUUGGAUCAAACCUUUUGAAAAUUUAGGUUACAGGUCCAGUUCCACUCUGGCCUCUUCCCUGACUUUCAGAAUUGCUUCUUUGUGCCGAGCCUCCCCUUUGGCCAGUUCAGGGUUUUUUGGUGCUCAUGGGAGAAAGCUCCAGAUGAAAACACGGUUGACAUGGUGACAGUCAUUUAUGGGAAACAGCUUCCCAAAUGCCACUGGAAGAGGCUGGCAGGAGAACUCCUUGGACAAAGGAUAUUCUGGACAAGCUGUGGCUGUCCCUGCAUCCCUGGCAGUGUCCCUGGGCAGGGCCUGGAGCAGCCUGGGAUGGUGGAAGGUCCCUGCCCAUGGCAGGGGGGGCUUUGGGGCUCCUUCCAACCCAAACCAGUCUGGGAUCCUGUGAUUCCAUCAACUGCAGCAAACAUUAAAUGUCUUUUUGGAAACAGGAGGCUCCCCAAAACACACUUUUCCCUGUGAAUUUGGGGGUCUGAGGCUCCAGCAGACCCAGAGGUCAAAGGCAGCAAGAUUUGUGUGUUCCUGAUGGAAUUUUUGGCUGAGCUGCUUCCACAGCAGUCUGUGUAUGAUUCCAUGACUGCACCAC